GCGGGUAUGGCGAAAUUGGCAGACGCAUCAGAUUUAGGUUCUGACGGGGCAACCCGUGGGGGUUCAAGUCCCUCUACCCGCACCA
rnacentral:tRNA from 1 species